rnacentral:rRNA from 1 species
CCUACGGGAGGCAGCAGUAGGGAAUAUUGCUCAAUGGGGGAAACCCUGAAGCAGCAACGCCGCGUGGAGGAUGAAGGUUUUCGGAUUGUAAACUCCUUUUUUUAGAGGAGUUAAUGACGGUAUCUAACGAAUAAUCACCGGCUAAAUCCGUGCCAGCAGCCGCGGUAAUACGGAGGGUGCAAGCGUUACGCGGAAUCACUGGGCGUAAAGAGCGCGUAGGCGGGAUAGCAAGUCAGAUGUGAAAGCCUAUGGCUUAACCAUAGAAUUGCAGUUGAAACUGUUAUUCUAGAGUAUGGGAGAGGUAGGUGGAAUUCUUGGUGUAGGGGUAAAAUGCGUAGAGAUCAAGAAGAAUACUGAUUGCGAAGGCGACCUGCUAGGACAUAACUGACGCUGAUGCGCGAAAGCGUGGGGAGCAAACAGGAUUAGAUACCCGGGUAGUC